UACGUAGGGUGCAAGCGUUGUCCGGAAUUAUUGGGCGUAAAGAGCUCGUAGGCGGUCUGUCGCGUCUGGUGUGAAAAUCCAGGGCUUAACCCUGGACCUGCAUCGGGUACGGGCAGACUAGAGUGCGGUAGGGGAGAUCGGAAUUCCUGGUGUAGCGGUGAAAUGCGCAGAUAUCAGGAGGAACACCGGUGGCGAAGGCGGAUCUCUGGGCCGUAACUGACGCUGAGACGCGAAAGCGUGGGGAGCAAACAGG
rnacentral:rRNA from 1 species